UUAAAUACAAGGGAAAUGCUUGAUUACAAGCUUCCAUUGAAUGUUUGAAUACAGUUAACACCUGUAAAUGAUGUCUUAAAGCGUCUCCAGAACUCGCCAGCGUUGCAGUAAAAAUGGUAGGAUGAUUAGAGGUGACCACAGUUGUUUGUUCUGGAUAGAAGUUGACAUGCACACUGCAAUUCAUCCUCUACAGGGACACAGAAACAUGUACUGAGGAAUUCAGAAUUGGAUUGGCAAAUUCUUCAUGUGCUUGUUAGUACUGC
rnacentral:misc_RNA from 1 species